GACGAACGCUGGCGGCGUGCUUAACACAUGCAAGUCGAACGAGAGGAGAAGGAAGCUUGCUUCUUUCAAAUCUAGUGGCAAACGGGUGAGUAACACGUAAACAACCUGCCUUCAGGAUGGGGACAACAGACGGAAACGACUGCUAAUACCGAAUACGUUCUUUUGUCGCAUGGCAGAGGGAAGAAAGGGAGGCUCUUCGGAGCUUUCGCUGAAGGGAGGGGCUUGCGUCUGAUUAGCUAGUUGGAGGGGUAACGGCCCACCAAGGCGACGAUCAGUAGCCGGUCUGAGAGGAUGAACGGCCACACUGGAACUGAGACACGGUCCAGACUCCUACGGGAGGCAGCAGUGGGGAAUCUUCCGCAAUGGGCGAAAGCCUGACGGAGCAACGCCGCGUGAGUGAUGACGGCCUCGGUGUAAG
rnacentral:rRNA from 1 species